rnacentral:sRNA from 1 species
ACUUGCAGUUUUGGAGAUACAAUGUGAAUUUGUGACAGGAUGUUGGGAUCUUGUUGUUUCAGGAUCCACCAUCAUCCAACCUUGGAAUUGAUUCAGACACUCAAGUCAGUUGAUUUUUACCAGGCAAGCUUGCAGCCUGUGGCCACCAGUUUCCACGAUGCCCUUCACUUGUGAGUCUAAGCGCCGCUUCAACUUUCUGAUGUUUUGUUGAUGCUUGAGAGCUCCCAAGUUGAUUGGAUGGCAGCCUCAACUUGCUUUGCGUAGCGCUUUGAUAAAAUCUCACGCAAGCUUAACGCUUGUAGGCGCUAUUGGUAACUAGAUUUUCAAGGUAGCUAGUGAGAACAUUUAUAAAAAUAAAACGACUGUCCUCUGCCAGUCAACUUAUUGCAAUCUUCAG